rnacentral:rRNA from 1 species
GGUUCAAGUUACUAAGGGCGCAUGUGAGGAUGCCUUGGCAUCCAGAGGCGAUGAAGGGCGUGGUAGGCUGCGAUAAGCGUCGGUGAGGAGCGAACAUCCUUUGACCCGGCGAUUCCCGAAUGGGGAAACCCAUCCUGGUGAAAAUCAGGAUAUUCCGUCUCAUUGGGACGGAAGGCAAACCAGGGGAAGUGAAACAUCUCAGUACCCUGAGGAAAAGAUAUUCCGAAAGUAGCGGCGAGCGAAAUCGGAAAAGCCCAAACCGAACUGCAUGUUAAAGCGGACAGGCGUUGUGCAGUCGGUGUUGCGAGGUCCAGCCGAAUCCAAUCUGUCCUGAGGGUUGUGAAGUUACAAAACCUCAGAAUAGCCGAAUCUUCCUGGAAAGGAGAGCCAUAGAUGGUGACAGCCCAGUAGGCGAAAUCUUGGAGGUCUUCACUGGCUGGAUUCUCAAGUAGCACGGGAUAGGUUAUCCUGUGUGAAUCUGCCCAAACCACUGGGUAAGGCUAAAUACUCCUGGAUGACCGAUAGUGCACCAGUACCGUGAGGGAAAGGUGAAAAGAACCCCUGGCGGGGAGUGAAAUAGAACCUGAAACCAUGCGCCUACAAUCAGCAGGAGUUUGACCUCUACCUGAGCAAUCGGGUAGAUGUGUUGAAUGACUGCGUGCCUUUUGCAUAAUGAGCCGGCGAGUUGUCCUAACCUGCAAGCUUAAUCCUGCUAUGAAAGUAGCAGGUGAAGGCGCAGGGAAACCGAGUCCAAAUAGGGCGAAUUAGUAGGUUGGGGCAUUACCCGAAACCCGGUGAGCUACCCAUGGUCAGGGUGAAAUUCCGGUGACACGGAAUGGAGGCCCGAACCGGUGGAUGUUGAAAUAUCCUCGGAUGAACUGUGGGUAGGAGUGAAAGGCUAACCAAACCGGGUGAUAGCUGGUUCUCCCCGAAAUGCCUCUAGGGGCAGUCUUGGAUGUUCAGUAGUGGUGGUAGAGCACUGAAUAGAAGAGAACCCUUCGGGGUUCAAAUCUAAUCAAACUCCGAAUGCUACUACUUAAAAGUCCAGGAAAGAGGCGGUGGGGGCUAAGCUUCAUCGCCGAAAGGGGAAUAACCCAGACCACCAGCUAAGGUCCCUAAGAGUUGGCUAAGUGGGAAAGGAUGUAAGAUGACUCAGACAUCUGGGAUGUUGGCUUAGAGGCAGCCAUCAUUUAAAGAGUGCGUAACAGCUCACCAGCCGAGUCAUUUUGCGCCUAAAAUUUACCGGGGCUCAAGCCAACCACCGAAGCUGUGGCUUCUUGACCUCUGGUCAAGAGGGGUAGGGGAGCGUUCCGUUUUAGGUUGAAGUCUCGUCGCGAGACGGGAUCGACGAAACGGAAGUGAUUAUGCCGGCACGAGUAGCGAUAAUCCGGGUGAAAAACCCGGACACCGAAAGCCCAAGGGUUCCUGGGGAAGGUUAAUCCUCCCAGGGUUAGUCGGAUCCUUAGCCGAGGCCGAAAGGCGUAGGUGAUGGGAAAGCCGUCAACAUUCGGCUACCAUCUGUAGUUUCGUUAUUACCUAUGGGGUGACACUGAUGGUAGAGGUGGUUCCUGUGUUGGAAUACAGGAUCCAAAUACUGCAGGGGAAUCUCCAGGCAAAUCCGGAGGUUCUUAACCCUGGAGUAUGAUGGGGAGGCCCAAAAGGCCAUAAACCCGCCUCGAGAUUCAGUCGAGAAAAACCUCUAUGGGAGAGACUAUGGAUGUCCGUACCGGAAACGAACACACGUGGGCGAGGUGAAGAUCCACAGGUGCUCGGGUGAACCCUUGUUAAGGAACUCGGCAAUCUAACCCCGUAACUUCGGGAGAAGGGGUCCCCGCUAUGUUGAAUAGCGGGGCGCAGUGAAAGGGCUCUCGCGACUGUUUAACAAAAACACAGGUCUCUGCUAAGCCGUAAGGCAAAGUAUAGGGACUGACACCUGCCCGGUGCCAGAAGGUUAAAGAAGGAAGUCAAUCUUGGGGCAACUCAGGGUGAAGCUUCCGACUGAAGCCCUGGUAAACGGCGGCCGUAACUCUAACGGUCCUAAGGUAACAAUCGUUGCCUGAACUUAGCUAUAUGCGGGAAAAUCCUUAGAGCCUUGAAUACGAGGCCCAAUAAGCUUUGAGGUCCGUAACAAUUUCAAGGAUUGGACAAUCCGCAGGAAAUCCUUUAUAGGGAGUUCCUCAGAGACUAUACGCUAAGCAUCCAUUUUACUGGAGGAAUAAUGGAAUUGAAACCUGAAUGGAUAAGUGGUUUUGUGGACGGAGAAGGUUGCUUUCAUAUUGCCUUUCUAAGACAUGCAGAAAUGAAAUUCGGUUAUCAGAUACUACCGGAAUUUACUGUGGUUCAGCAUAUGCGCGACAAGGAUAUCCUGUUCGCACUAAAAAGAUACUUCGGUUUUGGUGUGGUGCGGAAAAAUCACCAAGACCGAUGGUGUUACAGGGUUCGUAAAUUAGAAAAUCUUUUGAGAAUUUGCGAAUUCUUUACACGAUUCCCUUUGCGAACUAAAAAGCGAGUGAAUUUUCAAAAGUUCAAAAAGGCAAUUAAUAUGAUGAAAGAAGGGAAACACCUUACUAAAGAUGGAUUUAUUGAGAUAUUGGAGAUUGCCCUGAGAAUGAAUACAGGAGAUAGAGAGAGACUCCUCCAGAUAAUAAAGGACCUGGAAAAUGGAUGAAGAUAUAGUCCACACUGUGAUGAAAGUCACAGAGUAAUGUGAGCGAAAUUCCUUGGCGGGUAAGUUCCGUCCUGCACGAAUGGUGUAACGACGAGAGCGCUGUCUCAACAAGGGUCCCGGCGAAACUGUAGUGGCGGUGAAGAUGCCGCCUACCCACGGUAGGACAAAAAGACCCCGUGAACCUUUACUGCAACUUGCUAUUGAAUCUUUGCAGGACAUGUGUAGCAUAGGUGGGAGGCUAUGAAGUCCCGACGCUAGUCGGGAUGGAGCCGUCAGUGAAAUACCACCCUUGUUCUGUCGGAGGUUCUAAUCCUGAUCUUGCAAGUCAGGAGACAGUGGCAGGUGGGCAGUUUGACUGGGGCGGUCGCCUCCCAAAAUGUAACGGAGGUGCCCAAAGGUUCCCUCAGUGCGGUCGGUAAUCGCACGUGGAGUGUAAGGGCAUAAGGGAGCCUGACUGUGAGGCCGACAGGCCGAGCAGGCACGAAAGUGGGGCCUAAUGAUCCGGUGGCUCCGUGUGGAAGGGCCAUCGCUCAGCGGAUAAAAGGUACUCCGGGGAUAACAGGCUGAUCGGGCCCGAGAGUUCACAUCGACGGCCCGGUUUGGCACCUCGAUGUCGGCUCAUCGCAUCCUGGGGCUGGACAAGGUCCCAAGGGUCGGUCUGUUCGCCCGUUAAAGCGGUACGUGAGCUGGGUUCAGAACGUCGUGAGACAGUUCGGACUCUAUCCACCGUGGGCGUAGGAGACUUGAGAGGAGCUGUCCUUAGUACGAGAGGACCAGGAUGGACGGACCUCUGGUGCACGAGCUGUCAUGCCAAUGGCACCGCUCGGUAGCCAAGUCCGGAAGGGAUAACCGCUGAAAGCAACUAAGUGGGAAACCCACCUCAAGAUUAGGUCUCCCGUUCAACUCAGGGGCAACUCUGAGUUGACCUAAAGACUACCGGUAGACUACCGGUUCGAUAGGCCACAGGUGUAAGUGCAGUAAUGCAUUGAGCCGAGUGGUACUAAUAAGUCGAGCGACUUGGACUUCCU